rnacentral:rRNA from 1 species
GGAAAUGGGCGUCUGCCGGUCACACGGCUCGCCUCAAAUGACUUAGUGGAUCUCUCUGCAUCCGUGACAGACGUAAUAAGUUUCGUCUUGUCCCUUGCUUAUGAGUCUGCUCAUAACCUGCCAUCGCGCACUUUUAGACUCUGACCUCAAAUCAGGUAGGACUACCCGCUGAACUUAAGCAUAUCAAUAAGCGGAGGAAAAGAAACUAACAAGGAUUCCCCUAGUAACGGCGAGUGAACCGGGAAGAGCUCAAAUUUGAAAUCUGGCGUCCUCAGGGCGUCCGAGUUGUAAUCUAUAGAGGCGUUUUCCGUGCCGGACCGUGUCCAAGUUCCUUGGAACAGGAUAUCAAAGAGGGUGACAAUCCCGUACUUGACACGACGACCGGUGCUCUGUGAUACGUCUUCUACGAGUCGAGUUGUUUGGGAAUGCAGCUCAAAAUGGGUGGUGAGUUCCAUCUAAAGCUAAAUAUUGGCGAGAGACCGAUAGCGAACAAGUACCGUGAGGGAAAGAUGAAAAGCACUUUGGAAAGAGAGUUAAACAGUACGUGAAAUUGUUGAAAGGGAAACGAUUGAAGUCAGUCGUGACCGAGAGGCUCAGCCGGUUCUGCCGGUGUAUUCCCCUCGGUCGGGUCAACAUCAGUUUUGUCCGGUGGAUAAGGGCGGUAGGAAGGUGGCACCCUCGGGUGUGUUAUAGCCUGCCGUCGCAUACAUCGGGUGAGACUGAGGAACGCAGCUCGCCUUUAUGGCCGGGGUUCGCCCACGUCCGAGC